CCUACGGGAGGCAGCAGUGGGGAAUAUUGCACAAUGGGGGAAACCCUGAUGCAGCAACGCCGCGUGAGUGAAGAAGGAUUUCGGGAUGUAAAGCUCUAUCAGCAGGGAAGAGAAUGACGGUACCUGAGUAAGAAGCACCGGAUAACUACGGGCCAGCAGCCGCGGUAAUACGCAGGGGGCGAGCGUUAUCCGGAUUUACGGGGUGUAAAGGGGGCGUAGACGGUUCUGCAAGUCUGAAGUGAAAGCCCGUGGCCUAACCGCCGAACGGCUUUGGAAACUGUGGAACUGGAGUGCUGGAGAGGCAAGCGGAAUGCCUAGUGUAGCGGUGAAAUGCGUAGAUAUUAGGAGGAACACCAGUGGCGAAGGCGGCUUGCUGGACAGCAACUGACGUUGAGGCUCGAAAGCGUGGGGAGCAAACAGGAUUAGAUACCCGGGUAGUC
rnacentral:rRNA from 1 species